rnacentral:rRNA from 1 species
ACGCGCUUGGAUGGCAUGGGCGAAGCCUGAUCCAGCAAUGCCGCGUGUGUGAAGAAGGCCUUCGGGUUGUAAAGCACUUUUGUUCGGGAAGAAAGUAUUCGUGCUAAUACCAUGGAUAGAUGACGGUACCGGAAGAAUAAGCACCGGCUAACUACGUGCCAGCAGCCGCGGUAAUAA